rnacentral:rRNA from 1 species
AUUGAACGCUGGCGGCAGGCCUAACACAUGCAAGUCGAACGCGUGGCGGACGGGUGAGUAAUGUCUGGGAAACUGCCUGAUGGAGGGGGAAAACUACUGGAAACGGUCGCUAACACCGCAAUCCAUCCGAUGUGCCCAGAUGGGAUUGGCUUGUUGGUGGGGUAACGGCUCACCAAGGCGACGAUCCCUAGCUGGUCUGAGAGGAUGAACAGCCACACUGGAACUGAGACACGGUCCAGACUCCGACGGGAGGCAGCAGUGGGGAAUAUUGCACACUGGGCGCAAGCCUGAUGCAGCCAGGCCGCGUGUAUGAAGAAGGCCUUGGGGUUGUAAAGUACUUUCAGCGGGGAGGCGUUACCCGCAGAAGAAGCACCGGCUAACUCCGUGCCAGCCGCCGCGGUAAUAC